GACUUCUGGUUUAAUGCACCUGGCCCGCGGCCAAUAGGCCUGUGAGUGCCGGCGCGCGUUUACCAUCCUUACUCGGGAUCUGGAUCAUUUACUUUGAAAAAAUUAGAGUGUUUAAAGCAGGCUAUUGCUAUGAAUACAUUAGCAUGGAAUAAUAAUCUAGGACUUCGGUUCUAUUUUGUUGGUUUCUAUAACUGAAGUAAUGAUUGAUAGGGAUAGUUGGGGGUGCUAGUAUUGGCCGGUCAGAGGUGAAAUUCUUGGAUUCGGUCAAGACUAACUUAUGCGAAAGCAUU
rnacentral:rRNA from 1 species